AAAAACCAAGUCGUACUUAUAUGGCUUGGUACAGAUCGGUUGGUUUUUAGUUCAUCGCCGAGGAUAUGUACUUGUACGACCCACACCAAAUGACUUACACACCUGACACCUCAACAUCAAACCCCCAACAACAGUGUCAGACCGGAUACACACAACCCUCUGUCCGUCAAACGUUCCGUUCAACCAACACAGAAACAUACAA
rnacentral:lncRNA from 1 species